rnacentral:rRNA from 1 species
CCUACGGGAGGCUGCAGUGAGGAAUAUUGGUCAAUGGUCGGGAGACUGAACCAGCCAAGCCGCGUGAGGGAUGAAGGUCCAGAGUAUCGUAAACCUCUUUUGUCAGGGAAUACAGGCGGGGACGUGUCCCCGGAUGAGUGUACCUGAAGCAAAAGCAUCGGCUAACUCCGUGCCAGCAGCCGCGGUAAUACGGAGGAUGCGGGCGUUAUCCGGUUUUAUUGGGUUAAAAGGGUGCGCAGGCGGUCUGUUAAGUCAGCGGUCACAGCUUGGGGCGCAACCCCGGCACGCCGUUGAAACUGGCAGUCUCGAGUUGGAGAGAAGUAUGCGGAAUGCGCGGUGUAGCGGUGAAAUGCAUAGAUAUCGCGCAGAACUCCGAUUGCGAAGGCAGCAUGCCGGCUCCACACUGACGCUGAGGCACGAAAGCGUGGGUAUCGAACAGGAUUAGAUACCCCUGUAGUC